ensembl:snRNA U1 U1 spliceosomal RNA
AUACUUACUGGCAAGGGAGAUACCAUGAUCAUGAAGGUGGUUUUCCCAGCAUGAGGCUCAUCCAUUGCACUCCAGAUGUGCUGACCCCUGGAAUUUCCCUAAAUGUGGGAAAUUCAACUGCAUAAUUUGUGGUAGUGGGGGACUGUGUUUGCGCUUUCCCCUG